rnacentral:lncRNA from 1 species
CUGCUGAUAUUCUCCCUCGUUUUGCAGGAAUGCAACAAAAUGCAGCCUUGUAAGGUUUCCUACCAAAACAUAAAGUAGAAGAUGAAGUUCGGUAAUCAAGAAUUGUCGGUACUUACAAAUGAGUUUCACUACCCUGGUAGAGAAGCUGUUAAUGACAAAUUCAAUUGUCUCAUUGACAAUAUUUGGAAUAUUACAAAAAAUACAAAUAAUAAUGAGCAGUUUGUUUGUUCAGUAAAAAAGGGCAUCAUCUGUGCUCUAUACAAUUUCUGCAUUGUAGAUAACCAAGGAGUUCCUCUUCUCACAAAAGCCUCUCCUUCUGGAAAAGGUUAUACAGCUUUUGUCCUGUUAUCAGGACCGCAUAAAGGUGUUUAUACCAAUUUUAAAGACCUUUGCCUUGCAAAGGAGGGUAUUCAAAGCCCAAUCUAUAAAGGUUUCUAUUCAAGGGAAGAAGCAGAAAAAGCCCUUGAAUUAAAUACCACAGACAUUAAUAAAAUUAAAAGGUCUCUUGAACCAGAAAACCCGACCAUAAUCAUAAACGAUGGCCAAACCAAGACUAGCCAAAAGACCUAUAGAGACACAGUCAGCCCAAAUGUCCCAGGCUCAACAAAUGACCUAAACUUAGACAAUUUUAAGAAAAUACAAAGUUUAUUGUUUAAGGUACACAAUAACCAAAUCCAAAUUCCGGGACUCUACAUAGGUGUACAUGCUUAUUUUAACCAAAAAUUUGUAUGUAUCAAUAAAACCCCACACUGCCAAGACAAAACCAAUUGUCCUUGCAAGAUAAGAUUCCUCUUUAGAAAAGCCAGACUAGACAUGGACCAGUUUAAGUCCUUCGGAUAUGAAGACUUAGCGAUUUCCGCAAAAAGUCUAUUAGACUAUGGAUGUUUGAAAUUAAUCCUGAUUCCUCCAUCUGAUAUAUUCGAGGGAUUUAAUCCCUCAAUCAAUGAGGCCAUAAACUUAAUACAGACAGAAAUGAUGGAUUACAUCGCCAUCAAGAUAACAAACUGUCUGAGCAAUUUCACUGCUCAGAAUUAUCCUUGCCAUGUUAUAAAACUCUUACUCGAGGAUCAUAGAGAUUAUCCCUGCCUAUUCAAUGAUGAAUAUGAAAGCUGGGAUGUACAAGGUAAUACACAAUACCAAUAUAGCCUUAUGAGGACAGAAAUUCAGGGCUAUCAAUGAUUCUUCCCAGAAGAGGACAAACGUGAGUUUGACCUGAUAAAAGAAACUCGUGACACAAAACUUUUCCUGCAAUAAAAGAAAUUCAGGGCUAUCAUACCCAAUAGUGAGAGAGAGAAACUUAGAAAGAGAAGCUUGUAAUAGUUGUCUGUGCAAUAAUAUCAAGUUCUUUUCUGCAUCUUUCCCCCUCUACCCCAAAAAUUUUCCCCGAUAAACUGUAAGUACGAAUCUCACUAUGUCUGGCUAAUUCUUGUGAAGGCACCCUCAAAGGGCCUUAGUUAUCUCUAUUUGGAAAAUGCGAAUAUGAUUUAGAACUCCGCUGCUUGUAAAUAGUAUUUUUUUUUUCCUUUUUGCUUGUUUUUCGAAAACCUGGGAUUGGUAAGCUUGCAAAUGUGUGCCCUUGAUAAAUGUUUUUUUGAAAAACUAUGAAAGUCCUUUUUGGUUAGGCUGGUGCUUGGAGGAAAAUAAGAUUUACAUAAGACCCAAAAGUAAGUGUGGGCAGUUCGCGAUCUUCAGUACUCAACUUAAUAUCCAAAAAGUUGAUAAGGACGUGGUUAUUAAAAAAAAAAGGUUCAUCAUAUUUUAUAUUUUUCCAAAUAAGAUAACUUAUAGUGUCCACUUGGGGAUUGCCCUCUAUCCAUCUAAUUUGAUUUUUUCUUUCCGCAUAUCGCUUACUCUUAACUGCUAUUAGUUUUAGUUUUCAAAUAUAAUAUAAAUCUAACUAGGAGGCUUUGCCACCUUUGCUGAUGUAUAUUAUAUUUUUGUACUCUUUGCCUACUUUUAUUUACUUUCUUUUGCUUUUAUUAUAUUUUUGUACUUUUGCCUACUUCUUAUUAGGUUGUUUUAUUAUUUUGUAUUUUUAUAGGUUCUCAAGAGAAAUAAAAUACAAACUACAAGAACUAAAAAAAAAUCAAUUUUAAACUGUAGGAAUUAAAAGAAAAUUAAAAUAUAAAUUAUAAAAAUUAAAAAGACUAAUUUCAAACUAUGGAAACUAAAAUUUACAAAUUAUAAAAUUAUAGAGACCAAAUAAUUAAUUAAAUAUAAUUAUAAUGUGAUUGUUAAAAACUAUCUCAAAACUUGUAUGUUUAAAUAUUUUAUUUUAUUUUCCAACAUACUUUUAUAUCAACUUCUAAUACGAAAAUUAAUAAUAAGACAAAAGUAUAAGUUUUUUUAAAGCCAACAAACUUAACUAUUUCAUUUCAUUGAGAAGAGUAGCAGACAAAACUGAGUUUAUUGAAACAUCUCACGAUGAAGCCAAUCUCACGAUGUACACACGGUUUCUGAAAAUGUAUAAACCAUGGAAAAGUUGCACUGAUAUAAUAAUGUAUGAAGGUGAACUGCAUUAAUACUCGGUCAUUAAUGACGGACCAUUAAAGAUUAUUCUUUUCAAUUAUUCUUUUUUUUUAAAUUUCAAUUUGGAAAGAAUAGUGAGUUAGGGGCACCUUGGUUAUGCGAUUACCAUAUGUCUAGGAUGGAUUUGGAACAAAUCAAACCAAACAAGAACCAGAAUAUUUGGAAGAAUAUUCUAGCGUGUCUAGGAUGGAUUUGGAACAAAUCAAACCAAACAAGAACCAGUCUAUUUGGAACAACUAAUUAAUUUUUAUUUUAAAUUUUUUUUUAUCAAUGGUUGUUCUCAGUUUUUAAUUGAUAUCACAUAAAAAAAAAAGCAUGAAAUUGGCAUAAUAUUUGCUCAAGCCGUGAGAGAGAGGUUACUGUAAUGAAAGAAUAAAGAUGAAGAGUCUUAGAGAUACUGAAUCUGAAUUCUUUUCAACUAACAUUUAUAACAAAAGUUAAAAAAUUAACAUUAAUCAAUAAAAAAACUAUAUAUUAAAUAUAUAUUAAAAAUUUUAAAAUUUUAUAUAACAAUAUUAAUUAUUUUUUAAUAUAAGUGACUUGUUAAUUCAAUUGGUUAACACGUCAUACUCAGUCAUAAGGUAAAAGUCACAUUUUCUUGUAGUUAUUAGCAUAGCUUGCUAGGUUAUUACUACUUACAUAACUUAUUACUCAGAUGGACACUAUAAUGUAUUAACACAAAUAAGUUUUUAUGUCUAUAAUACAAAGAUGAAAUAGCUCUGACAAACGAAAACCAUGAACACUAUAAAGAAGAUACAUGGAUAUUACCUGAAGCACUGAUACCGAUCGUGGAAACGAGUAAAACGAUGAUCGUGGAAAUGAGAUUUUGGGAGAUAAUGAGUGAGGCGAAUAAGCAAUAAGAAGG